CACGGGGGGAGCAAGCGUUGUUCGGAAUUACUGGGCGUAAAGGGCGUGUAGGCGGUCAAGUAAGUGGAAUGUGAAACGCCUCGGCUCACCCGUGGAACUGCCCGGCAGACUGUGGUGCUCGAGUGUGGUAGGGGAGAGCGGAACUCCUGGUGGAGCGGUGAAAUGCGUAGAUAUCAGGAGGAACACCGGUGGCGAGGGCGGCUCUCUGGUCCACAACUGACGCUGAGGUGCGAAAGCGUGGGGAGCAAACAGG
rnacentral:rRNA from 1 species